UUCCAGAGGCAGAAAGAGUGAGAAGCGAGGCAGCUUUCAGGGUAGCAAAAGAACCUUAGUUCUUCCAUCGAAUUUGCUGCGAAAAAAGCAGAGAAGAAAGAUGUCAGUUGUUACUUAACACUACAGUGAGGAAAUGAAGGCAGGUCACGGCCAUGUCCUGGAAGGACCAGAAGCCUGGCUACUGAGUCUCUACCAUGUGCUCUGUCAUUCCUGCUCUCUACUAGGUCUGGCGAUGAUCAGUGCAUCAGUUAUGCUCCUUGCUGAGGUCCGGCACAGCCACAGUGCCACCAUCAAGAAAAUGAGGAUAGCUAGCUCACAUCCCACCACUAGCUCUUUUUCAGAGAAAUUACCUGGACAGGGGCACUGUUCUUGUGCAAAAUUUCCACAACUCGAUGGAAGCCAAUGGGUGCUCUCUUCUUGGUGUAACCCAACCAGUUCUGAAAGAAAGGACACAGACUGGAAGAAGCUUCAUCGGCAACAGGAAUGUAGGAGACCAAAGAAGCCUUCACCCUCCAAAGGCCUCACAAGGGUCAGGGCACCCACCUUUGUGGUGAACAAGGCAUCGACAUCAUUCCAGGCUCUAAGCUUGGCCCGCGCAGCCAAGGCUGUCAGCACAUACUGUCUGUCUGGGAUCUGAGGAGCAGAAAGCAGCAAUAGUAAGAAGGUAGAGAAUUGCAUCCAUGAAAUGCUUUACAAUUUGAGAAAAGCAAAUGUAUUUGCUGACACUGAUCCUGACCCUUAAAAGUAACCAAGUUUGCAGUCAUCAAAGACCCUUUGUUUUCCAAGGCCCACACUGAUGUACAGUGACAGACGUUUUCUCUCACUUCCCACUGACUUUCUACAUUACCCUGACAUCAGGAACCCAGUGCACAGGUUACCAGAGUAUUACUUCACUCAACAGUCAAUGCAAUGCUACCUUGAAUGUUUUCUUCAGGUUGACUGGACUGCUGAAGGUCCCCUAGGAUGAAACGGGGGAAGAAACUAGUGAAACCACAAAUCCCUCAUUUUCUUCUUUAUUACACAAACCCUCUGUGUAAAUUAUAAACCAUUGAGAUCCAGAAACCACUUUAUGAGUAAGUCUCCUCAGGUCUGAUGGAGUACCACACACCCCACUGCAUCAGGAAGAAGACAAGGAGCCAGCACCAGAGGUAGCAGGUGCUCUGCUAGGGUGCCAGCCACAGACGGCCAGCGAACCCUCAUAACCUUUGUUCCUCUUGGCUCGCUCGUGCUGAGAAGUUUCUGGAUUUCUGAAAACCACACAGGCCCGCUGACAAUACCUCACAAUAGUGUAUUUGAACAAUGCUCCACUCUCACUCCGCCUGUACCUCGGACUCCGUGUAGUGAUAGAAGCAGGCGUAGAAGAGUGUCGUCACUAGUGGCAUGUUGAGGAUGGAAGCUUUUCGGGGGUGCUUCCGGAAGAUCUCAGUCUGCCCUGAAGACUCCAGGUGUCGGUCAUUGGCCUGUGGUGGAUCAGGUAAGUGAGAAAAGGAACAGUGUCCAUUGGGAUAGGCAGGAAAAUACCUGCAUUACCACAGCAGUUGUGUUUCCAACAGAAAUUGCUUAGGAUAUCCCAUGAGGGCUAAAGUCCAUAACCAGGUCCUAGAUUUUUAAGUUUAACUUAGAGAUUUCCACAGCUCAGCUUAGUGUUGCACGCCUAUAAUCCCCGCACUUAGGAGGAGGAAGCAGGAAGCUCAGGAGUCCAUGGCUUCAUUACACAGUCCAGUCCGGACUCGAUGAUAUCUUACCUCAAAACAAAAAGAAAGAAAGGAAGAAAAAGAAAGGAAAGGGAGGGAGGAAAGAAAUUUUGGAAGUGGAAAUGACAAGAAAUCUCAACUAGAGGACACAUUAAAUACUCCUAGGCCAGUAGCAGGAAAGAGGAAAAAAUGCCUAAGGACAGUCAAGAAAAAGAGAAGAAAUAAAAGUCUAUGCCAGAAAACAGCGAGCAGAGCUGAGGGGGGCCUGGGUGCUGAGCGGCUCUGAGCUGGGCACAGAAGCAGAGCAGAGACGGAGUCUCACCUCGAUGAUGAUCUGGCGCUCCAGCAGUGUGUACUGGUCUUGCACGUGUGCAGAGUCUUCCGCUGAAAAGGGCAAACUGGUAAAGGGCCACAAGGUUAGUACUUUUUAUGUGAAAAGCAAAACAAACCCAACAAGACCAAACCAAACGAUCAUGAAAACCUUCUGAGCUCACGGUUUUUAACACGUUUGAUCCCUAUGCACCUUCUCAGGAUCCUUUAAGGCAGACAGAAUAGCUACAGUAUACUUUGGUCUGGAUAUUGUAUUUGAGGUUUGCUGACUGGACUGGGGAUGUAGCUCAGCUGGUAUAGUGCUGGCCUAGCAUUCACGAAGCCCCAGAUUCAAUCGCCAGCACUGCAUAGACCCGGUGAGAUGGUAUAGGUGAAAGCACCAUACUCAGCCUGGAUCACAUGAAACCCUUGAGAGAGGGAGGAACGGAGGGAGGGAGGGAGACACCGAGACUUUGAAAACUCAAAAGGAAUCUUCUCGAAGUCCACAAAAUGCACAGUUGUGAUUUUGCUGUGAAUGAGUAAGGGGCAGCUUGGUUGGGGAGUUAGCCAUUCGGUGAGUGGGUCACAAAGCUAGAGAGCCAAGACAACCACCCAUCGCCAAUGUGCCCACAGAACUUGCUGAGCAGAGUAAAAAAAAGCAAAUUAUAUAGCAUAGUGUUGGUUGGAAAAUUAACAAAGAUUGAUCUACAGAAAUGUCAAGGACUCCAUCUUCAAAACUAUGUCUUUAGCUAGAUAAGGGGACACAUGUCUGUAAUUCCAGCACUUAUGAGGAGGAGCCAGGUUUAGGAGUUCUUGAUUCCAUAGCAAGUUCAAAGCCAGUCUGGAUCCACGAGCGCGAAAGGCCCUUUUAACCUUCAGUUCAGACCUCUGUCCUGUAGACUGAUGCUUGUUCCUCUACUCACUACAGAAAGAAUCCUGAGAUCAAUUACGCUGACCCAGGGAAGUGUGAACCCCAGCUCUCUAUCUGCUAACAUGAAAUUAGGAAUCUCAUACACAGUGAAUUCUAAAUGUGACCCUAGAAAUGCUUCCAUGAGGAAUGGCUGGACCAAGUGUGAACAAUGAACCUUGAGAAGCAGGGGUGCUGAGAGGCUAUGCAGCUGUAGGACAGAUACAGAGAAGCACAUUUCAGCUUAAGCCAUGGGCGCCCUUUCCUGACGAAGGCCGGUCAACAGUAAAAUGAGUUACUCCCAAGAGCAGCGAGCAUCCAUCAGAACAGUGAUACCCACAGCUUUGUGUGCCUGUCUUACUGAAGACUCGAGUUUGGAUGAAACCUUGCACUACAGCAGUAGCCCAGAGAACUGGGGCUUCAAGACUUGUAACAAGAAAAAUACUCAAGGUCCACAAUCACUUUUACCUUUUAAUUUUAUUAUAGUAAAUCAUUAAAAAAUUUACUAUUGGGGCUGCAGAGGUUAAGAGCACUGGCUGCUCUUCCAGAGAGCUCAGGUUCAAUUCCUAGCAUCCACACAGCAGUUCAUAGGUAUCUGUAACUCCAGUUCCAGGGGAAUCUAACACCUCACAUGACAUAAUAUGCAAGCAAAACACCAAUGUAUAUAAAGUAAAUAAAUCAUUAAAAAAGUAUCACAGUUUUAUUGCCAAAAUGAGAUGUGUGAGAACCAAAGUUCGAGAACAACGAGUCUUUCUAUCUCAGUAGGUUUAGCUUUAGGGAAAGAUCCUAUCUAGCCCAUUUUUUUUUUUUUUUUUUUUUUGAGGUUUCUUCCAAUCAGUGAAAACUCUGGUGGAGACUAGGAUUUGGGAGUCACUGAGGUAGAUGACCUACAAAUACUGCCCACGUGAGUCAUGGUUAGCCUUCCCUUCUGAGCCAUCCAUCCCAUUCUCUUUUCUUCUCUUCUAUCUACAUAAAACUACUUUUCCCCAUACUUACCCAAUGCACGUCUUAAGAAAUUCUUUUCGUUUUUCAGGGUCCUGAAUGUUCAAAUGCUCUCGAUAAUGGGAUAGCUACAACAAAACAACAGAAUGGAGCUAACAUAUCUGUAAAAGAGAGAGGGAGCUCACUAGGAGGAUAGCACUUGUCUAAGCACACAUGUGAGCACAAAGAGCAUAUGUAUGUGCACACAGAGAGGGGGAGGGGAAGGAGAGAGAGGGAGAAAAGGAGAGAGGAAGAAAGUUAGAGAGAGAACACUAAGUGGAUGUGUGUGCACUUGUGUGUACUUCCCUGUACUUGUGUAUGUGUAAGGGCCAGGAGCAAGGGUCUGGUUCUCCCUCUAUUGCUCUCUGCAUUAUCUCUUUAUAGAUUUAUUUUAACUGAGUGCAGAUGCCUGAGGCGCCAGAAAACAUCAGAUUCCCUGAAGCUGGAGUUACAGGUAGUUAUGAGCUGACUGAUAUAGGUGCUGGGAAUAGAAUUCCAGUUCUCUGCAAGAGCAAUACACACUCUUAACUACUGAGCCAUCUCGUCAGUCUAUCCACCCUGUCUUCUGAGCCUGUGUCUCCCAUUGCACCUGAAUGAAGGCAGACUGUCUGGCCAGCAAGCCUCUGGAAUCCUCUCACCUCCACUGCCUCAGCACGGGGCUUGCAGAAGCAAACCCAGUGCACUCAAUUUUUACAUGGGUCCUGGGGAUCCAAAGUAAGGGUCUCCUGCUAGCACCAUCCACUGAGCCACCUUUCUCCAGAUUAUAAUUAGAUUUUAUAUGCUCUAAAACUGACACUGUUUACUCUGAGUCCUCCUGGACUACAGACUCUUAUGUGUAUGUGAGGGACUAAGCUAGGCACAGUGUCGUUUUCUAGAUCUAAUCAACUAAGAACAGGAAACAAUCAGCAGGAGGACUUGGCGGCUGGGCUGGGCUUUGACUUAGAUGUCUGGUAAAUAGAUUCCCAACAGAGACAAACGGCCACACUUACCGCCAGCUCUUCUGUUCUAUCUAGGAACCUGGGGAAAGCAAAAGAGCAGGAGAGUUUGAUCUACUGACCUCCCAGUACUCCUCACAUAAGAGACACUCUCCAGAAGAAACAAAGAAACGCCUCUACACUGAGACAAUAAUUAACAACACUACCUUGGCACAGACGGGUGCUUGACAAGACUUCCUUGACUGGAAAGGAAAGCCAAGAAAGAGCAAACAGCCUGCCUCUGUGAGCAUGUCUUCUCUGGCAAACUCCUUCUGGCCUAACCAGGAAGUGGAUGAGAUGUCUCAGUGCGACCUGGCGUACCUCCAGCUCUCGGAAAAGGAUCUCUGGCACGUUAGGUAGAGAAAGAAGUAAAGCUUCCUAGUACUCAAGUCUGAGUGUGGCCUCUCCACUCAUCCACCCCAAGCAUCGUCACCCAAAAGCCUAGCAACAGCUAAGGAUGGCUCUUCCUGGUCUCAACCCACCAUCACUGUCAGCCUCUGUGCUCUAGAGCAGUGGUUCCCAACCCUCCUAACGCUGCAACCCAUUAAUACAGUUCCUCAUGUUGUGGUGAA